AGUCUAGUCUGUAUCAUGAUCUAACCAUGCCUGURAUGGAAGCACCCAAGGGAGACUAGCCUGAAUCACAAGAGGGCCAUGAAGAAACUGGGAGAACGUUCCAGAAGAACUGAAGGGCACCUGCAGCGUAGGAGAGUGCCCUAGGGCUCCAGGAGAUGAAGAUUUCAGUUUCUUGGGAACAAGCAGUGUGUCACUAUAGAUACGAAGAAUGCCUGACACAGGCAGCACAGUUUACAGCUGUAGAAGAGAGAGAAGCUGUAGAACUCUGUUUAUUGAACAACAACUUUCCUCCACCAGAUCCUGCACACCCUCAGAGCCUGGGAAUGUCCUGCCUCUGACUCUGAUCAUUGACGCAGUUUGCAUCUCACCUCUUCCUGAGUGAGAGGAUGAGGCUCUGGGGCACUCCUACGGAGAGGAACACCCGACUCAGGCUGUGCGAGUGAGAACCGCCUCUGGGAUCCCUCUGAUAACCUCUGCUGCUGAUGAGGACAGUUCACACGCCCAGCUCUACCAGGCUGAUCUUGACCAGCUCUGGGUACCAAGCAUCACUCCAGAGGCAUCCAAGUCUGAACCCGAAAGAGCAACCUGCCCAGCACCAAGGCUCUGUUUUGUGUCAAAGAGUCUCUUGCCUUGAUGACAAAGUGUCAACAUAUGUUGUAGUGUUUUAUAUAUACACAUAUUUUAUUGAAAGCUGCUGCAACAUUCUUGGAUCUGAAGGCUUUGGAUCCAAAGCCUUGGAUUGGAUGACAGAGAGAACGAGGGUUGGAGGGACACAUGACCCGUGAAGGUUCCAGAAAGCUUUGCCUCAUUCUAACAGUGCAAAGGAGGCGUUA